CGCAUGCAGGUUCAACAGCUGCGGCUAAGUUCACUCUUAUUGAUCUUUUAAACGAACUAUUGUGGCGGCGUGGGUUAUGUGAUGAGGUUUUUUGACAUACUAAAUUAAAGUGUCGUUAGCGUCUACUGUGCGUUUAUUGAAACGUUGUAGUUAUUUUUCCCACGCCAGAAUGGGGAAAACAAAGAAAAAAGAAAAAAGAACUUUUUUUUCAUACUCAGAAGAGAACAUGAUUAUGGCAAUUGAGGCAGUGACAAAGAAUGGAAUUAACAAAAAGGCUGCAGCUCCAGAAAAAUGGGCCCAGCUACAGAAAUUCCCGAAGCAGAAGAGAAAAUUAUCGAAAACUGGGUGUUGGCAAUGGCCAGGAAAGGAUUUCCAGUUCACCGACAAAAUCUCAUCUUAUCAGUGAAAAAAAUGGUCGAGGAUAUGGGAAAGGAAACCAAAUAUUUUCUAAAUGGAACACCUGGAAGAUCAUGGUUUAGGGGUUUUUUGAAACGUCACCCUAAGAUAAAGGAAAAAUAUGCUGAAGCUGUAAGCAAGGCUCGUGCUGCUGUCACUCAGGACCGAAUUGAAGGAUGGUUUGAGGAAAUAUUGACCUUCUUACAAACCGAAAAUUAUAUGAAUAUACUGGACGAUCCCAGCCGUA